GCAUAUCAAUAAGCGGAGGAAAAGAAACCAACAGGGAUUGCCCUAGUAACGGCGAGUGAAGCGGCAACAGCUCAAAUUUGAAAUCUGGCGCAAGCCCGAGUUGUAAUUUGUAGAGGAUGUUUCUGGCGACGUGCCUUCCGAGUUCCCUGGAACGGGACGCCAUAGAGGGUGAGAGCCCCGUACGGUUGGAUGCCUAGCCUCUGUGAAACUCCUUCGACGAGUCGAGUAGUUUGGGAAUGCUGCUCUAAAUGGGAGGUAUACGUCUUCUAAAGCUAAAUACCGGCCAGAGACCGAUAGCGCACAAGUAGAGUGAUCGAAAGAUGAAAAGCACUUUGAAAAGAGGGUUAAAAAGUACGUGAAAUUGUUGAAAGGGAAGCGUUCAUGACCAGACUUGGGCAGGUUGAUCAUCCGUGGUUCUCCGCGGUGCACUCUGCCUGCCCAGGCCAGCAUCAGUUCGCCCCGGGGGAUAAAGGCUCUGGGAAUGUGGCUCCUUCGGGAGUGUUAUAGCCCACUGCGUAAUACCCUGGGGUGGACUGAGGUUCGCGCUCUGCAAGGAUGCUGGCGUAAUGGUCAUCAACGACCCGUCUUGAAACACGGACCAAGGAGUCGUCUUCGUAUGCGAGUGUUCGGGUGUCAAACCCCUACGCGUAAUGAAAGUGAACGUAGGAGAGAGCUUCGGCGCAUCUCCGACCGAUCCUGAUGUUCUCGGAUGGAUUUGAGUAAGAGCAUACGGGGCCGGACCCGAAAGAAGGUGAACUAUGCCUGUAUAGGGUGAAGCCAGAGGAAACUCUGGUGGAGGCUCGCAGCGGUUCUGACGUGCAAAUCGAUCGUCAAAUAUGGGCAUGGGGGCGAAAGACUAAUCGAACCUUCUAGUAGCUGGUUUCCGCCGA
rnacentral:rRNA from 1 species